GAGACUGUUGUUUCACCGUACUCUUAUCAGG
rnacentral:piRNA from 1 species